GGGGAUAUAGCUCAGUUGGUAGAGUGCUUGCCUUUCAUGUACCAAGGCUCUGGGUUCAAUUCCCAGCACCA
rnacentral:tRNA from 1 species